CGAAGGGGCUAGCGUUGUUCGGAAUGACUGGGCGUAAAGCGCACGUAGGCGGACAUUUAAGUCAGGGGUGAAAUCCCGAGGCUCAACCUCGGAACUGCCUUUGAUACUGGGUGUCUGGAGUGUGGAAGAGGUGAGUGGAAUUCCGAGUGUAGAGGUGAAAUUCGUAGAUAUUCGGAGGAACACCAGUGGCGAAGGCCGGCUCACUGGUCCACAACUGACGCUGAGGUGCGAAAAGCGUUGGGAGCAAACAGGAUU
rnacentral:rRNA from 1 species